rnacentral:rRNA from 1 species
CCUACGGGAGGCAGCAGUGAGGAAUAUUGGACAAUGGGCGAGAGCCUGAUCCAGCCAUGCCGCGUGCAGGAAGACUGCCCUAUGGGUUGUAAACUGCUUUUAUACGGGAAGAAACACCCCCUCGUGAGGGGGCUUGACGGUACCGUAAGAAUAAGGAUCGGCUAACUCCGUGCCAGCAGCCGCGGUAAUACGGAGGAUCCAAGCGUUAUCCGGAAUCAUUGGGUUUAAAGGGUCCGUAGGUGGACGGUUAAGUCAGAGGUGAAAUCCUGCAGCUCAACUGUAGAAUUGCCUUUGAUACUGGUCGUCUUGAGUCAUUGUGAAGUGGUUGGAAUAUGUAGUGUAGCGGUGAAAUGCAUAGAUAUUACAUAGAACACCGAUUGCGAAGGCAGAUCACUAACAAUGUACUGACACUGAUGGACGAAAGCGUGGGGAGCGAACAGGAUUAGAUACCCUGGUAGUCCACGCCGUAAACGAUGGUCACUAGCUGUCCGGACUUCGGUCUGGGUGGCUAAGCGAAAGUGAUAAGUGACCCACCUGGGGAGUACGCCGGCAACGGUAAAACUCAAAGGAAUUGACGG